CUUAAGUGGCGGACGGGUGAGUAACGCGUGAGAAUCUGCCUUCAGGACGGAGACAACAGUUGGAAACGACUGCUAAGCCCCGAUGAACCGAAAGGGAAAAUAUUUAUAGCCUGAAGAUGAGCUCGCGUCCGAUUAGCUAGUUGGCGGAGUAAAAGCCCACCAAGGCGACGAUCGGUAGCUGGUCUGAGAGGACGAUCAGCCACACUGGGACUGAGACACGGCCCAG
rnacentral:rRNA from 1 species